rnacentral:misc_RNA from 1 species
UGUCGUUCACUACAACGUACAUUACACGUUGUAAACGCGGGAAUUCUGUCGUCUUGAUCAUCCAAAAACGGAAGUUGAACUUAUGAAAGGGGCUAUUAGUUGGGCUCAUGAUAAAUUAAAAUACACCUAUGAAGCAACAUGGCUUUAUUGACAUCUUUCCUAGUAUAAAAGGAAUAAUUACACAUCUCGUUCAGCUAAUAUAUUUUUCAUCGCUUGUCGUUACAAAUAAAUGCGCAGCAUAUACGUUUUUUCAUUCAGAAUGUAUAUUCACUCUUAUUACUAUCGACCGUUUUUACAAAGCUUGAAGAAUACAGUCUCUCAAUGAUGUCAUUGGUCAGACAUGAUCUCUCAAUUAUGAUUUUAAAAGGUUUAAAAAGAGCAGGUUUCAAUAAACACUCAGGUUAUUAUAAAAACUAGAAAAUUGUAAAUACUACAAAGUUCAAUAAAAUCAAUAUUACUAUAUUUCUAUUUUUCACAAGGUAUAAAUAAAGACCGAUUGUAAUUAUAUUUAUUAUAUUUUUCAAUUUCCCAUUCUGCAAAAUGUCCUUUUUACUAAAUAAUUAAUUAACAAUACAAAACUUUCAAAAGUAAAUGUUCGUCUGUAACUUAAUGUCCGCAUUACGAAAACAAUUCUCUAUGUAAUGUACAAUAUUAAAACGUUUAAUAUUUCAAACGUCGACGUAUAAAUGCAUGAUGAACACAGUGCAUAAAAGAAUGCAAACUUAAGACCAAAUUCCAAAAUCGAAAAGAUGAUUCAGUACCAAAAUAUUAGACAAUUCGUGUAUCACACAACAUCAUAGUAAAUGUUCAUUGUAUAGCAAAUACAUAUGCAUAGAACACAGAGAUAACAGAAGUAUCUUAGAUACAUUUUACAAGAGCAAAUUAGAACUAACUUUUUAGAUAUUUUGUAACUAGAUACACUACUUUUGUCUUGUUCUUAUAUUCAUAUCAUGUUCAAUUAUUCCCAUAUAUUUGAGAUUCGUAUCAAACAUUGUAUUAUGUCAGAUGGGAAUAAAAAUCAUAUCCUAUUCAACACAUUAUGUAUAAGCAGUGUUCACUGGAUAAAGUUAAUACACAAUAGAUAUGUUCAAAGAAUAGUUUUUCGAUGAACAGCAAGUAUUUUUAAUGAUAUACAUACAUCCAUGCGCGUUACACAUGAACAGUGCGCCUUGUGUAAUAUUUUUGUGCCUAUAAAACAUGAAUAAUAUCUUAUGUCAAAAUCCAUUGUCAUUAUUUGAGAUUGUUUUGAACAAUGAUCCUUUGUAUCGUAAGCUUCAAAUCGUUAAUAAGAAAGUGUUUU